rnacentral:lncRNA from 1 species
CAGAUCCUCAUAUAGGAACUAUCCUUUAAUUCGGAUCUGGAAGCAUUAGUAAAAACAGACUCAAGUGCCUGUUGCCUGAGCUACUAGGAUUUUCCACUGGGGAUGUUGUGAGUGGAAUUCCUGGUUGGAUCCAGGGUCCUACAAGAAGAUGGCUACUGUGGCUUCUAAUUCCCUGAGCCCACAGUGCACAAUUUUAGUAGCAAAGCAAAUUACAGUUUAUUGACCCCCUCAUACGCCCGACUUUAAGAAAAUUUCUACUUCAAAGAAGUAUAGCAAUUACCUAUUUAUUUGAUGGUAGUUGUCCUAGAUAUACACACUGAGAGACCUUUCAAAUGAUGAUCUAUGUAAGUACUUAACAUCCGGACUGUAGCAUUCCCCGCUGUUGAUUUACCCAAGCAGUGAAGCAAGAGGAAAGAGUACAGGGCAGUUGUUACGAACAUGAGCUUUGGCAUCACUGUAGCAAUGUUUGAAUCUUUGCUCUGCUUUGCAUUAGUUAUAAUCUAACUUAU